rnacentral:rRNA from 1 species
AGUGAACGCUGGCGGUAGGCCUAACACAUGCAAGUCGAACGGCAGCACAGUAAGAGCUUGCUCUUACGGGUGGCGAGUGGCGGACGGGUGAGGAAUACAUCGGAAUCUACUUUUUCGUGGGGGAUAACGUAGGGAAACUUACGCUAAUACCGCAUACGACCUACGGGUGAAAGCAGGGGAUCUUCGGACCUUGCGCGAUUGAAUGAGCCGAUGUCGGAUUAGCUAGUUGGCGGGGUAAAGGCCCACCAAGGCGACGAUCCGUAGCUGGUCUGAGAGGAUGAUCAGCCAAACUGGAACUGAAACACGGUCAAUACUCCUACGGGAGGCAGCAGUGGGGAAUAUUGGACAAUGGGCGAAAGCCUUAUCCAGCCAUACCGCGUGGGUGAAGAAGGCCUUCGGUUUGUAAAGCCCUUUUGUUGGGAAAGAAAAGCAGCAGGUUAAUACCCCGCUGUUCUGACGGUACCCAAAGAAUAAGCACCGGCUAACUUCGUG